AUUGAACGCUGGCGGCAUGCUUUACACAUGCAAGUCGAACGGCAGCGCGGGCUUCGGCCUGGCGGCGAGUGGCGAACGGGUGAGUAAUACAUCGGAACGUGCCCAGUAGUGGGGGAUAGCUCGGCGAAAGCCGGAUUAAUACCGCAUACGACCUGAGGGUGAAAGCGGGGGAUCUUCGGACCUCGCGCUAUUGGAGCGGCCGAUGGCAGAUUAGCUAGUUGGUGGGGUAAAGGCCUACCAAGGCGACGAUCUGUAGCUGGUCUGAGAGGACGACCAGCCACACUGGGACUGAGACACGCCCCAGACUCCUACGGGAGGCAGCAGUGGGGAAUUUUGGACAAUGGGCGAAAGCCUGAUCCAGCAAUGCCGCGUGUGUGAUGAAGGCCUUCGGGUUGUAAAGCACUUUUGGCGGGAACGAAAAGGACUGUGCCAAUACCACGGUUCGAUGACGGUACCCGCAGAAUAAGCACCGGCUAACUACGUG
rnacentral:rRNA from 1 species